rnacentral:lncRNA from 1 species
UUUUAAUUUUAAAACACUACUUUACAUAUAUUUUUCUUUCAGACUCCUCCAAGGCCAAUACAAACACAGAAGACCCAAUACAACAAGAGGAAGAGGAGGAAGAUGAUGACUGAUGACAUACUGAGUAAAACACCUAAACCAGUUGAUACAUUCAAUGGUGUUAAUGUCAAGGAUGAUGAGGUCAAUGAAGGUGCUGAUGAAGGGUUGAGCUAUGAUGAGGAUGAUGAGUUGAUGAGGACGAUGAGUUGAUGAGGAUGAUGUGUUAAUGUCAAGGAUGAUGAGGUCAAUGAAGGUGCUGAUGAAGGGUUGAGCUAUGAUGAGGAUGAUGUGUUGAUGAGGAUGAUGAGUUGAUGAGGACGAUGUGUUGAUGAGGAUGAUGAGGACGAUGUGUUGAUGAGUUGAUGAGGAUGAUGUGUUGAUGAGGAUGAUGUGUUGAUGAGAAUGAUGAGGAUGAUGUGUUGAUGAGGAUGAUGUGUUGAUGAGGAUGAUGAGGAUGAUGUGUUGAUGAGGUUGAUGUGUUGAUGUGGAUGAUGUGUUGAUGAGGGUGAUGUGUUGAUGAGGAUGAUGUGUUGAUGAGGACGAUGUGUUGAUGAGGACGACGUGUUGAUGAGGACGAUGUGUUGAUGGGGAUGAUGUGUUGAUGAGGUUGAUGUGUUGAUGAGGACGAUGUGUUGAUGAGGAUGAUGUGUUGAUGAGGAUGAUGUGUUGAUGGAUGAUGCGGCUAAACAGUUUGACACAAUCAGUUCUGAGGUAGAGCCUCUACUGAUUGAAGAUAGGUUUCUCACAGCCUUUUACAGGACUCUAAAAGUCAGAGAGGUCCAAUUACUAGAUAGGUUUCUCACAGCCUUUUACAGGACUCUAAAAGACAGAGAGGUCCAGUUACUAGAUAGGUUUCUCACAGCCUUUUACAGGACUCUAAAAGACAGAGAGGUCCAGCUACACAAACAUAUGGUUGCUUAACUAAGACGGCAGUACAGCCAAGACCUAUCCUUCUGGCAUAAAACCAUGCCACGAUUGAUAAGCAUCAAUUUGAUUAAAAAACCCAAACAAACGAUAAAAGCCUUAUGUAACAUGGAAACUUCUUAAAUAACG